CAGUCGCCGCGGGAAUAUGAAGGGGGCUAGCGUUGUUCGGAUUUACUGGGCGUAAAGGGUGCGUAGGCGGAUUGUUAAGUCAGGGGUGAAAUCCCGAGGCUCAACCUCGGAACUGCCUUUGAUACUGGCGAUCUUGAGUCCGGGAGAGGUGAGUGGAACUGCGAGUGUAGAGGUGAAAUUCGUAGAUAUUCGCAAGAACACCGGUGGCGAAGGCGGCUCACUGGCCCGGUACUGACGCUGAGGCACGAAAGCGUGGGGAGCAAACAGGAUUAGAUACCCCAGUAGUCCCUGUCUCUUAUAC
rnacentral:rRNA from 1 species